UACGUAGGGCGCAAGCGUUGUCCGGAAUUAUUGGGCGUAAAGAGCUCGUAGGCGGCUUGUCACGUCGGGUGUGAAAGCCCGGGGCUUAACCCCGGGUCUGCAUUCGAUACGGGCUGGCUAGAGUGUGGUAGGGGAGAUCGGAAUUCCUGGUGUAGCGGUGAAAUGCGCAGAUAUCAGGAGGAACACCGGUGGCGAAGGCGGAUCUCUGGGCCAUUACUGACGCUGAGGAGCGAAGCGUGGGAGCGAACAGG
rnacentral:rRNA from 1 species